UUGAUCAUGGCUCAGAACGAACGCUGGCGGCAGGCUUAACACAUGCAAGUCGAACGUGAAGCAGGAGCUUGCUCCUGUGGAAAGUGGCAGACGGGGGAGUAACGCGUGGGAAUUUACCCAGUGGUUCGGAAUAACGCAUGGAAACGUGUGCUAAUACCGGAUACGCCCUCCGGGGGAAAGAUUCAUCGCCAUUGGAUGAGCCCGCGUCGGAUUAGCUAGUUGGGGAGGUAAUGGCUCACCAAGGCGACGAUCCGUAGCUGGUCUGAGAGGAUGAUCAGCCACACUGGGACUGAGACACGGCCCAGACUCCUACGGGAGGCAGCAGUGGGGAAUAUUGCGCAAUGGGGGAAACCCUGACGCAGCCAUGCCGCGUGAGUGAAGAAGGCCUUAGGGUUUUAAAACUCUUUCAGUGGGGAAGAUAAUGACGGUAGCCACAGAAGAAGCCCCGGCCAACUCCGUGCCAGCAGCCGCGGUAAUACGGAGGGGGCUAGCGUUUUUCGGAAUUACUGGGCGUAAAGCGCGCGUAGGCGGGCUGGUUAGUUGGGGGGGAAGUCCCAGGGCUCAACCCUGGAACUGCCCUCAAUACUGCCAGUCUUGAGUUCGAGAGAGGUAAGCGGAAUUCCUAGUGUAGAGGGGAAAUUCGUAGAUAUUAGGAAGAACACCAGUGGCGAAGGCGGCUUACUGGCUCGAUACUGACGCUGAGGCGCGAAAGCGUGGGGAGCAAACAGGAUUAGAUACCCUGGUAGUCCACGCCGUAAACGAUGGGUGCUAGUUUUCAGGCAGCAUGCUGUUUGGGGACGCAGCUAACGCGUUAAGCACCCCGCCUGGGGACUACGGUCGCAAGACUAAAACUCAAAAAAA
rnacentral:rRNA from 1 species